UUUUUUUUUUUUUAGUGGCUUUCUUUCAAACAUUUCUUUUCAAUAGCUUUGGUGAGCUCUCUGCAUCUAGGCUGUGUUGGAGACCAACUGUAUGGAAGCACUUAGUGACCAAGACCUGCCCCUAGAGGUUCAGAAGUAUGGCAUCAUUUAUCACAGGCUGAACCAUGGGCCGUGGUUAUAUUGCACAAAGUGGUGACCCAUUGCCUUCUCUGGCUGAAGAAUGUAAUUCCUCCAGUGCCUCUGCCUGGCACACUGCAUGGAGCUACAGUCAUCAAACUGUGUGCAGUUGGAUUUAUUAUUCUGUGGCUUGGCUGCUAGGAAAAUGUUGAAGUACUGGAGUUUAGCUAAACUGCAAAAAGGAGAUGUUACUGAAAAUGUUAUAAAUGACCUUGUUGAUUCUAUAGAUGCUGCCAAAUAGUAGAAACAGGUGGAAAUAGGAAUGUGAGUUUUUAUGCCUCUUGUAUGCUUCUUCCAUUCUGCAUUUCUCUGCUGCUGUUACUUGAAAGAUAGUGCUAAAAGGUGAGGGGAAUAAAAUUACUUGGGCUAUUUUUUUUAAAAACUUUUCUUCCCAUACCAAAUCUACCCAGAUUUAGCUAUUGGUGUUUUAGAAUAGUGAAAUCAAACAGCAUUUUUAAACUGCAUGGCGAAUCUCUCAGCCUAUCACAUGAAGAUGAAUUCUUCAAGCUUCUAGUUCCAGAACUUGGUUUUAGGUGGUGUCAGAGUAAUUAGUAAUUAGUGUCUGUAAUAAUUUGUAUCACUCAUAAAUUCAGCAGAAAAAAUGUCAACAUAUUUCUAAGUAACUACAUUGGAAAAUUCUGCUCCCUCAGGUAUUUGUCCGCUCUCUUUUCUUGCCUGUGCUUAUAUGAAAAUAUAUUCAUGGUUGCAUGGCAGAUUUACUGUUGCUUACUUAGCUCUAAAUGGAGAAAAAAAAAAUGCAUAGGCCUGCCUACUGUGUUUUUUCCCUGUGGAAUGUGAUUUUCUGGCCAUGCAGCUUGAUUGUGCUGAGGGGAUUCAGAGGGGUCCAGGGCAGCCCACAGGAUGGUCCUGACAAUGCUGUAGCUGAGCUGGGCUCUCUCAGCUGGGUGAUGCCCAGUGUCAGACUGCGUGGUUCCCUCUUCCAGUUCAGACAAGAACUUGGAAAUAUGAGAAUAAAUCUGUCCAGUUAUGUCCAUGUAAUAACUGAAUGGCUCUUCUCUCUUCCUGGGCACUGCAGUAUGUUCUCUGGAGAGCCUUACCAGCCUGUGGAGAGGCUGAGGAUGCUGUUGGAGGUUUGCAGAAAGCCACCCCCACUUCCAUGGCCACCCAGGUCCGGCACAUCCUCUCGUACCUGCCUGCAGCCUAUUGCUGGAUGUGCACCACUGAGGCACAUUGGUUCAGGAUAAUUUUAGAAGUCUGAUGUAAACUGGAGACUAACAGAUGACCUGUACCAAAGUACUCUCUUCAUUUCUCCUUAGAAAUUGAAGAGUUUUGCCCAAAUAAUGUGUUAUUGUCUGUUCAAGUCACCCUGAAAAGUGAAGGCUGUGAGUGUUCUCGAAUUAUGAUUUGAAGCAAGGUUAUUGUGGUAAAGAUUUACUCUCUCUUGAUAUUUCAGCUGUUUCUGGCUCCAACACCAUCUCUGGGCAGCUGAGAUUUCAAUCAUUUUUAAAUACAUUUCAUCAAGAUGCCUUUGGGAUUCUUCCUGAGAUUUCUUGGUAAUUUCAUUAAAUAACUCCCUUUAGUUAUCCCCAAAUUUCAUUUUGAUUGACUUUAUUAAAUGGGCUUUGACUUUCCUGCUUUUCCUGGCAUUUGCAAAUGUUCAGGGUUUGUUUGGGUUUAAUUUUUUAUUGUUUUUGGUUUUUUUUUCUCCCUUUCUUUAGUUAAGUUUUAUGACAGCAUUUCCAAUUGUUUCUGUUCCUAUAUAUGACUGCCUAGACCUGCUAUCACUGUUUCCCUAUUCAUCUCCAUGAUGUUCUUUUCUGUACUUAAAAUUUUUAAUUUAGCUGUUUUAAGAGACUUUGGCAAAACUGAAUUAUUUUUAUAGGCAUGUAUAUAUUCACAUAAUUAGAUUUCUGCAUCAUGUCUAGCCUGUAGUGCUGUUCAUGAACAGCACUUCAUAAAUUUUGUCUUCUAUUCUGAUUUGGGUCUUCUAGACAAAUAACUUAAAUGUCAGAUUAUUAGUUUUAAGUUUUAUAAAAGUAAAAAUAUAAGUGAAUUUUAUGUGCCUGAUGAAGAAUCUGCUGUUUUUGAACUCUGUGUUCUCAGCAAAUCCCAAAUUUAGUGAGCACCCAUGGUGAAAGUGACAAGCCAUUGCUAAUCAAGUUAUGCUUUGGGCAAGCUGAUUAUGUGUGUUAUUUAAAUGGCUGUUUUAGGGUAGAUAUGUAUUUUAUUUCUGUGGCAGAAUUUUGCAGUUAAUAAUAAAGCCUGAAGUGCCUUGAUUUUUAACUCAAAAAAUUAACUUAUGUUGAAAGAAAUGAAGGUAAGUAAGUACAAGUUCAUUAAAAAGAGCUCUGCAUUAAAAAAAAAAAAAAAGAAAAGAAAAAAAAAAAGUGCAGGGUGUGCUAUGAAAAGAAAGUGGAGAAUGUUAGGUAAGAGUGGUGGAGAAAAUCAGUGAUUUCUUUUUCCCCUCAGUGCUAGAUGGAAUAUCCUUAUGCAUCACAGUAGCAAGAGAAAAAAAUGCAUAUGGAGAAAAAAAAAUGCAUUUGAAAAAAAAAAAACAUCAUAAGUGAUAAUUCUGGGAAAAUGAAGAGAAACUGAAGACUAUGUCAUAACCGCAGUUAGUCUGAAGAUAAUAAUUGUAGGCUACAUAUUUUUUAAUAAAAUGAGGCAAAUCAAAUUUUUUUUUUUCUUGUAAUAUGUUUGGGGAAAUAUCCAUUAAUUCAUUUUCAUGGUUAUGGAAUAGAAUUAAGGGGAAAAUAAUGGCAAGAUUUCUGAAAUGUCAAUUUGUAGUUAGAAAUUCAGCCAAUAAACAUUUAUUUAUAGGUGUGUGAAAAAAAAUACUCUCACAGUAAAGAGGGAUAAAUAGGGAGAACUAUAAUCCUAGUUUCUACUACCUUCUGACUCUUGGCUCAAUCUGGAGAGUAAGGAGACUAAGGUUCAAGUUCAGUAAAAUGGUCUUAGCCAUAUAGGCACUCUAGUGGUUGCUUGUCUUGAAAAUUGUCUGCUCAAUUUUUAUUAUUAUUACUAUUAUUGCUAACUUAUUGUAAAAUUCCAUACCUUCCUGUGUCUUGUAAAUCCAGUCUUGCAAAUGUUCAUACAGGACUUUUGAGGUUUCCCACCUUUUCAGAAGAGAAAUAGUUUUUAUUUGGUUUUGACUUUCAUUUUUUGAGCUGUUCUGAUUUUUUUUUUUCUUGUAGAAUAGUAGUUCCUGAAGACGAACCCUGCUCAAAGCCUUGGCCUAUGUACAUACGCAGUGAUACCUUUUGACAGCAAUUCCAGAAUUUUUUAUAGCUCUCUCUCUCUCUCAUAUCUAAAAUAUCUUCCGAAAUUAUUGAAAUACUUCUGAAAUUUAUAAAUAUAAUAAAUACUUAAGUCUAUACCUAAAAUUCAAGGUAGACUUUUAAUAUUUUUUUUAACAUUCUAUCAAAUAGCAGAGAAAUGUUUUUGAAAUUAAUCAGAUGGUUACUAUUCAGGUCUUUUCAUCUUGAGACCUACCUUUUGCUUGGGCAGCUAACAGAAUGACAUACCUAUUUUUUUCCCUCUUUUUGGUAUUACAAUAUAACCUACUUUCCCUUUUCCCCUAUUCAAUAUAUUUUUAUCUUUUUCAGUGCUACAUUGAGGAAAAAUAUUAAAUCAGAUGUAAAGUGAGACAGUAUUUUCUCUUUAUGUUUAUUUAUUAAGUAUAAAUAUUUUAAUUCUAUGAAUUAAAACUAGAAUUGAGAAUGAUGCUGGAAAUUUGGAGAAGGAUAGCAGUGAUGAGAAUUGCUUGAUAAGUGUAGUAAUAAAAUUUAUUUUAGGAAAUAGGUUUUACUGUCCAUAUCGUAGAGCUGAGUCUAUAUUGAUUAUAGAAACAUAGUACUUUUGGAUUCCUAUGUGGCCUGGUACUAUCUUGGAGUCCCUUGGUUGCCUACCCAUUGUUUUGAAGUGCUCUUGAAGUUAAAACCUGGCUCUGCUCUCAUCCUUAUUCUGUUUUUCUAUUCUUCAUCCUUCUCCUGAAAACAUCCUGCUAUAUAGUAUUAAUUUAACUGUUGAGAAUACACAGAUACAGUAAGCUACAGUGCAAUAUUUUUAGUAUUUCAGUAAUAUAUUAUUUAUGUAUCACUGACACAAGUGGUGCAUGGAAGUUCUUUACUGACAGCCAUGCAGCAUCACCCUUUCAGUCUUACAUUCAUGCUGCCAGGACAUUGCAUAUUUAUUUAGUGUCAUUGGGAUGUGAGUGAGAAAUAGGUUUAUGUUGCAAUGCAUUGUCCCAGUAUAUUUUAACUGCAUGCAUUUUCUGAAUGUCUGUCUGCAAAUGCCCACCACCUCCCUUCAAUUUUUGCAGAAAAAAAAUUUUUGUUUUCUUAUGGAAUCAUUAACCAUUGUACUUUUCAAGAAAAUAUCUUUGGGAUAUUCUUGUAUUAUCUUUGUGUCUUUGUACAAAACCAGUUAAUUAGGUGUACUAACUGCAUUAUCCCAUGCAACUCUGCCAAUAAAAAGAAAUAAUGUAUGUCUUGAAGAUCAUGUUUUAUAUUUAUCAAAUUAAAUCAAGAUUUUUUACAUGGAUGAAAAAAAGGCAGUAUUUGAUCCGUCCAUAAGAAAGUGCCAAGCUGUCAGAUUUUCUUCCAGAAGGUUCAUUCCCUAGAGUUUACAAAGUAUCUUGUCAUUUAGGAUCUGACUGCCCAGCUCUGUUUUCUAAAAAAUCCAAUACAAGGUUAGGAAUUUUUAGGAAGAAGUAGAAAGCAGAGCAUCAUGGUGACAUGGAAUGAUUCCAUGGUGUGUUUGUGUGUUCACUAUUUGAAUCUCAUCUCCAUCUCUCAAGAAACAUGAAGUAGAGUUGGAGUGGGUUCUAUAAAGAGCAGCAAGUAUGAUCAAGGGCAAGCAAUGACUUCUGUCCAAAGAGGGUCUAAAUUUGCUGUAACUCUUUAUCCUGAAAAAGGGAGCUUAUUUUAGAACCCUAUAAAAUCAGAAGUGGCAUGGAGAAAAUUAAUAGGGAAGAAAUUUUCACUGUCUCAUCCAAGAAAAGAACAAGAGUUUAGUGCAUAAACUGAAAUUGCUGCAGGAAGCUCCAAAUAAAAGUUGACAUGGAUCUAAAUUAUGAUUGGCGAAUUUAAAAGAAAAGAAAUUUCUGAAGCACUAUUUUAAAAUAAAAACAAAACCCACCUGCCCCCUCAAAAACAAUGAUGCAAACAGUCUCCAAAGGAAAUCUGAUUUUAAACUCCUCAAACUGUUGGAGUCUGAGGAUAUUCUAGGCAUUCAUGCUAUAUACUUGUUCCAUUUUGAAACUCUUGCAUCUUUUGUCCUUGUAGACAUCCUAGGUGACUUGGGUUAUCUCUUGUACUCGGGGUCUGCCAGCAGAUUAGCAGGUAGAAGAAAGUUAUUUUAAAAUAUAUUUUAUUUUAAAAUAAUACUUACUGAAGUAUUUAUGUCUAUACAUAUCUAAAGAUACCUAAAGCUUUUAUUUACUGUAAUUCAGUUUAAAGUAGUAUGCUGGGAUAGGAAAAUGGUUUCCCAAAUUCUGUGCUUGUAACAGUGAUAGAUUUUUGCUACUCAUGAAAAUAUGCAGAAAACUGUUUUGAGCUUUAUGGCAUUUUUGCAACGUUUUGUGGUUUAAGUUUCUGUGUAUAUGUAUAUUAAAGUAAAAACUAUAAAUGUUGUAAUGGUGCAAAGAAAAUACAUUAUAAAGAGUAUAUAUUUUUAGAGUAUAUAUAUUUUUUAAGAACACAAGUGCUCCCAUAUAUUCCAUUUGUAUAAUCCCUGCUUUUAAGUAACACUUGGUGAAGGAGUUUAAUAGUGCCAUUUUUCUUCCCCUUUUUCUGGCAUGCUCUGUCACUAGAUACAAAGAAAUCUCUUCAAUUGCACUCAUAUUGUUACUGGGAAAAAGAAAGGCUUUGUUUCCUCCAGCAAAGUCAUAGAGGCAUUGAGCAAGGAAACUCUAAAUGUCUAAAGGAGUUUUUUUAAAGGGGAUACUCUGAAAAUAAUUUUGACAAUGUUGCUAAUAUCCAGAUGUGAAUAACAGAUCUCAUGGCAUUGUUGAAACUGUUCUCUUUGCAAAGCUCUGCUGCAAGGACUAUUUGUUAAGAAGUUAACCCAGCAGAUUGUGCAAAAGACACAAUCUCCCAGUCACCUUCCAGUGAUAAUAAAAGGACAUGGAGGUAUUCUGUAUUUUGCCCAUGGAAAGUAUUUGGAUCCUGCAUGACUUAUUGAAGCAGUUUAUCUGCAAAAACAGCAUUGCAAGUUUUUUAAAAAUAAAAAUAUUUAAGUUGUAUUUUAAGAUAAAAAUUGACAGUGGGUCCUGUUCUGUGUUUUAGUUAUUUAUAGGUUUCUGCUGAGUGCCUUGAGCUAUGCAUAUAGAAAUCAUCUCUGCUAUAAAAAGGACCUACUGAUUCCUUCCCAAGAGGCUUUUUUCAUGGUACAAAGCAAAAUAAAAAAUUGCUUAUAGAGCACAUCUGUGAUAUUGUGUAACUUAAAUUUCUCCUGCUGCUUGACAUUUGCUUAACCGUGGUGUAACUCAGAGACUGGUUUAUCAUUGUGGUGACUUUUUUUUUUUAAUGAACAUGAGUGUUAAGUUUGAAUAACUACAUUAAUGUGACAUUAUUGCUGAAAUUUAUACACAUAGAGUGAAUAAAUUCGGAAUAAUGAUUCCCACAAUGGUCAUAACUUGUCCCUUUUCUCAUGUGAGCUGUUACCUUCAGUAAGCCCUUGUGUCUUGUUAAAAACACAAUAUUGCUUCUCUGGUUGAAUCACUGCCUUUCUUAGAUAUGGCGUUGGAUUUUACUAAGUUUGUAAUCAUGGUAUAAUUUCCUCUGCAGUAGUUUAAUGUCAGUGAAACAAAUACAGCGGGAAAAGCCUGAAAUAUCUCUUUCUUCAAACAUGAUUUUAACUCAAAUUACGACAGCAUCAGGGACUGAAAUUGUGCAGAAGUUUUGGCCAAAGGAAGGUCUGUCAUCAGACCUUAAUGCAGGCCAAGCAGAAUUUUUGGUUUUUUACUGCCAAAGCAUGUUUUGAUUUGACAUUAUAAAAUAUCUCUGCUAUAGGUAUUUUGCAGCUCUACAGUGUUGGGCUGUUUCAACAUGUUCCAGUAACGGGAUUUCUGCUGGCACAGUGACAUUAUUUUCUUAGGUGAGAUCAAUUAACACAACAUGCAAAUGCUCUAGAUUUAAUUUAGUUGAAUCUAAAUGAACAGUUAUGCCAGAUUAUCUGAGUUGGCAGGAGGUAUGAAUAUUUUCCUGAGAAAAGCUCUGUUGGAAUUAUUUUCAGCCAGAGUCAUGAUAAAAUUUUGGAAUAAGAGUUUAGAUCUAUAUCUUGCUUGAGAGAAAACAACAGAUUGGGGAAGAUAGGUAUUGGCAUAUCCAAAACUUAUUCUCAGAACAAUGUGAACUCUUUGGAAAUUUAAUUUAAUCAGAGCAAAGCGAGUGACUGCAGGAACAGCAGCUUCUUUUGUUAAUGUGUAAGUGUAAUGCGUGCUUUUACUGACUUCUGUACCAUAAAGCAAAAAAAUGUAUUUGGUUUAAGAAAGAUGGUUUAUUAUCAGUCUUGGAAGUUUUGCUUGCUUUAUUUCUUAAAUAAGUAUCCUUCUAAUCGGCAAAGGACAGAGUGUGGCUCUGUAAUAAGAAUGUUAUUUUAAGGUCACGCCCUACAAGACAAAAAAUUCUUUAGUGCCAUUAUUAGCAAGUAUUUUAGCCAGUGGCAAAGGGCAGGAUUGUCAGGCAGUCAGAAGAUGUCGACAAAGGAAUUAUUACAGUGGAUAGCCACAAGCCUGCUGUCAGCUGUAUAGUUUAGCCCUACACUCUGCAGUAUUUAGGCUUCUCUUCGCCUUCAACUUGGCAUCUCCACAGGCUUCUUUGCAGAUCAGCAAGCAAAGAUUUUUUUUUUUUUUCUGUUUAAACAAGGCAAUUUUCACUGUUCUUUUUCCUUUUUUUUUUUUUUUUUAAUAUCUAUAAAUGCUGUAAGCUUGUAUUUAUGUACUUGAAGUGAAACUUUACUAAAUUAAUCAUAUGUUUUGCUAAUUGGUCUGGUAUUUAACCAUUUAGCCUCGCUGAGAUCUAGCAAAAACCAUAUCACAGAAUCACUAGGCUGGAAGAUACCUUCAAGAUCAUUGAGUCCAACCCGUCCCCCAACAUCUCAACUAAACCAUGGCAUCUAGUGCCACCUCCAGUCUUUUUUUAAACACAUCCCGGAUGGUGACUCUACCUCGCUGGGUAGACAAUUCCAGUAGGUUGUCACUCUUUCCAUAAAAAUCUUUUUUCCCUAAUAUCCAACCUUGCUUCUUGUUUCACAGUGUGUAUUUGGAGCAAUCAGUGUGCAUAGAUUGAAAAAUAAUCUAAUGCACAGGUGACAUAUGUAUUUCACAUAUGUCAGAAACAAACAAAAGAUGCUUCAUCAAGUAAAUUAAUUGUUGAGCUAAGACAUUUUAUCCUAAGAGUAAUUUUAUUUUAAUAAUUUACAGAAGAGACUUAGUAGAAAGUUCUUCCACCUUAAUGGUUUCUGUUGGUAACACAAAGCUCCAGUGUCAUCAGCAUUCUGUACCUAAACCUGCCAUCUGCUGAGGAGCUGCCAGAUGCAUUAACUCUUAUCAACUUAACAGAGAUUUGUUUUAAGAGAAUCUGCCUUCUUCAUAAUAUGUUCAGAUUGAGCCUUGACACUUAAUCUAAAUACUAGAGCUAGAGGGAUUUUCCUGGAGGUAAUGUUGAGUGAUUAUUAGUUGAUUAAAGUAGUUCUCUGUGUCAGUUUCAAUCAUGAAUUGGCCUUCUGUGUGCCAGAGACAAAGAUUUAUCAUGCUGAUGGACAUUGAUGUGCAACUGAAUGUUUUUCACAUAAAUUGGAAAGAGCAGUUGGGUAAUCCCCUUUUUCAAGCUGCAGCAAAUCCCACAGAGUAGCUCUGCAAACAUGUCUAUCUAAUGCUGUAGCACAAAGCAGCUAAAAGUUAAAUACCCUUUUCACCUCCUGUCUUCAUAAGGUAGACUUCAAAUUUGUGUGUCAAAUUUGUUGUGUAUGACACAAGUGCAUUUAAAAUAAAUAGACAUUCUCAGGUAAUGACAUUUUAAAUAUGUCAAAAAUGUAAUGCGACUGAAUUGGAUAUUCAGCUUAUUGACUGAACAGACAAGCUGAUUGUAGGAAAUAAUUGUUUGAGGAGUUUUUCUGUACUGAAAUCAGAAAUAUAUUUAAUUUUUAAGCCUAUAAUCACAGCAAUAAUGAGCUCUUAUGCCAUGUUCCAAGUACAUUAUGGUUGGACCUGUAGCAAAAGACAAAUGUGGCUAUGGUUUUCUGCCAGCUUUGCAAGAAGGUACUCAGUUCAGAGGUAAAUAUAAUUUUUUUGUCCUCAUUGUACCUUUGUAAAAUUAGUAAGAUUAUGAUGAAAUUACUAAUUAAAAUAAAAGAAGACUCUCAUUUACAAAUCAUGUAUGAAAAUUAUCUUUAGAUUUCAGGUUUAGCAUAAGGUAGGUAUUCUAAUUUCCAGAAAUUUCUCUUCAGGAUUUUUUUGUGAUGAGUUGCUGUUAAUUUAGAAUAUAGAAAAGUGAUCAUGUAGUAAUCACAUUUCCAUCUGCAUUAACUUCAUCAAAACUCUUACCUGAGAAUUCUUGUUUAGUUAGAUCUGUUGAGAGUUAUAUAUAAUUUGGUAUGGUUAAUUUGGAUAAUUCAUGAGUUUGCCUUUUUUUAGUUGUGAGGAGCUAAUAUUUGGAAAUGCACACGUCAGAAAAGAUUUCUUUAGGAUAUCAUGGCAUGGAUUGCAAAAACAGUAACUGAGGAGGCUGCUGGGGCUGUCACCUCACUCAGAGGAGAUCUGGCAUAGGAAGGGGUCUUGUCCAUGGAUCCCUGUGUGAGGAAAGAGGGCCCAUAGGGCUUCCUGAGCCCAACCAUCUGACACGUUGACAUUGAACUUGAGUGCAUAGCCUGUCCCACGGUGUAGAGAAGGAAGUUUCUGGAAAAUCAGUGCUGUCUACUGCCUUCUUCUGGAAUUUUCUCUUUUCUGGCUCAUUUGAGGUUGCAGUAUUUGUUUUCAUUUUCACAGAUAUGCUCAAGUUCUGAUGUACAGUGUAUAGAAUCAGCAAAGAUAGCCACCCAACCGACUCAUAACAUCUUUCUUCAGAAAGGUCUUGAAUUCAAGUUCAUUAUUUAAUGUAAACAGGUCAACAUUAAUGCAGUAUUUCUAAGCCCAUAAUUUCCCCAAUUUCUUGAUUUUAUCUUUCUUCAAAUUCUUGUUUGGCAAUUGUAAUCACAGGUUCUGUAAAUUCCAGGUGGCAUUGAUUACUCCAGAGAUACAUAAUUAGGAUUCUGCUUAUCAUACAAGGGUGGAAAAGAAAAUAAUUUAGUUAUUCCACUUUUCUUCUUGGCUAAUGUAAAAGUAAUUUUUUAAUAUAGUAUUAAAGGUUACAUUAAUUUUUUUUUUAUCUCUCUUCUUUGUACCUUAUGUCAUUUGUACUUACUGUGCCUCUGAAGAUUUGUUUACCUUGAAGUUCCUGUGGAAGUGAGUAGCAGGAAUAUGAUUCAGAUUUUUACAUUUAUGUCAGAUAAAUAUUGGAUAUUCCGUAAAUUUGGGUUUUACAUUUUCAUAUUUUCCAUUUAAUGUAUUUAUACAAGAAUGAUAUUGGCCAGUUUUGAUAGAGGGAGAUGAAAGCCCAAAAUGCCUUUGCUGAAAGUUUCAGAAGUAACAUUCCUGUUUGAAUUGAACCUUUUUAUGUGUUUCUAAGGUAUUACCCAGCAGCUGAUAUGGGGAGAGAGAGGCUUAAGUGGGUGUAAAGCCUUUUAUCAGGCAUUUUAAAUUUUUGAUAGAUUUCUGUACCUUACUUAGUAAAAACUGACAAACCAGAUUCAUGGUGUUUAUGAAGAUUCUCUGUAUUUAUGUGCUGAAUUGUCCUCCAGCUCAUAUUGUAGACCUGAAUCUUGUACUGAUUAAAACUUUCAACUGAGUACUGGGGAAGCAGAUAUCCAUACAGUGAAGUUAAAAAGAAUAAUUUAUUUAAAAAGAUUUUUGUACUAUCCUUUCUGAAAUGAACGUAAUACUAGCUACCUUAGAAAAUUCCUUUGUUUAGAAUGAACUUUGCAUGUCUUAGACAACAGAAGGAAAUUUGGGGCACAGAAACACUCUACAGGUUAAACCAUAAAUUUUUAUGUAUAUAAACUCCUUUUCUUGACCUCUUAUCAUCUGCAUGAUCCCUGCACUAUGAAUUCAAAUGCUGUGCUGUGAAGGAAUAUGUUGAGUGCCUAUGGUUUUGUUUUUAAUUUUUGUUGUUCUUUUAGUUAAAUAAAUAGUGUCUGUUUAUGAAGGGAGUGAGUAUUCUUUUGCAAGAAUUGGCCUUUAUUGGCAAAUGAUGAUGAAAACACAGAGACAUAUUUUAAAGGAGACUGAUCCAGGGAGGUGCCUUUGAAGCAGCCGUGCUGUCUCUGCUUCCUGCCAGCUUUGUGGUUGUUGACCACUGAAGGAUGCUAUAGUCAUUCUAAAUCUUGGAAUUAAUGAUUAUUUGAAAUAGGAUUAGGAAAAGGAAGGGAAGGGUUAAAUUGAAAAAUGCAUCAAUUUAUGUAGCUUUAUUCUUAAAAUAAGACAAACGAAGCAUGAGGUUGUGUUGUGUGUGAGAGUAAUAUUUAUCUGUUCCUGCUCUUCCGUUCUGGUGGUGUUGCUUUUCCCUCUAAAUGGUAAUUUGUGGCUGCUGCAUGACCACACUUGGCAAUGAUAUGUGGAGAGGAGAACUGGAUACAGCUUUCUGGUCAGGCAUGAAAGGGAUUUCAAAAUUGCCUUGAAAAUUCAACUAAAUUGAGUAAGUGGUUGUUUUGGUUAGACAAAUAACAAUGAAGAUGCUAAAAUAAACCGGAUCUUUUUUAUCUUGCCCACAGUCUGGCGACACCUUUUAGGAGAAAGAGAGUAAGUACUAUUCAACUGGCCUGGAAUGGUUACAGUUGUGAGAUAAUACAGUUGGCUCUUCAGUUUGUUCUCUAAGUCAGUAUUGUACUUGGAGAUGUGCUUUACUGCUUGUAUCACUCAAGUGGCAUGCAAGUGGGAUGUAAUUGAUUUAGCAAGGAUGCGCUUUCAAAUACAGCUGUAUAUUUCUCAUUAACAAUAAAUGGAAAUGGAAAUUACUUUUAUUUUGCAAUGCAUCAUUCUCUUUACUAUUAUAAGCUUACUUUCAGGUAUUCUUCUGAAUGUGCAGAUUUUUUUUCAGCAAAACAAUCUACUGGGAAUUCACUCAAUUCAAAUAAAUCUCUAGGCAGCAGGUUUUUUGAGACUUUAUUUAAAAUAAAACUUUAAUGAUUUUUCCCUCAUGAUCUCAGAAGGUUGGAUAUGAUUCACUUUGAUUUACUAGACUUAUAUUUAGAUGUUUUCAUUGAUUGCAUUCUGAACUAUAGUAGUUUAUCACAAAAAUAUCUUGUUCCCAACACAAGAUAAUCUUUCAAAUUACUCUCCUGACUUGCCAAUAUGUGUGUAUUUUGAGAAUGUUUCCAUUCAGAGUAUCUCCUGAUAUGUUUUAAGAUAGGAAUCCUGAGUUGUUGACCAGAGGAAGAGUAAAUGCCUAACAUGUUCUGUUCUUGCUAUCUGAUGUUGUGGCCAUCUGGCUGUACUUCUCCCCACACCCGCCCAGGCUCUGAAGAAAUGUUCAUAAAUAAUUACAUAGAUUAAUCCUUCAAAGACUGAGCCUGGUUCUUGGAUAUAUUAAUUGCACCUUGUUAGAAUUUAGUUGGUUUAUUUUUGCACUAACAUAAUAUUAGAACAGUGUAUCAUGAACAUGGUAUUGGGUGAAUCUCUUGCAUAUCUUGGGACAUUUGUCUACCACACUGAUGGGAUUUGUUUUUUUCUUUUUUAAAUAAAAAACCCCCAGAAACCUCCAACUGAUCCAAACUCAGAAGACAAUGAUUUUUCUUGUAUCUUUGUGUAUAAUGCUUAGACUUUUAGACCUCAGGGAAUUCAUAAGUAAUUUAUCCUUUUUUUUCUUUACUCAUUCUUUUGGUUGAAGAUACAUAAAAGAUGUAUGGAUACUAAUUUAUUUUUUAGGAUAAGAGGAAAUGGAGUGAAGCAGUGCUGAGACAGGUUCAUGUUGUACAUUAGGUAAAAGCCCUUCACCCAGAGUUCCCUGGAAUGGAGUCCCCAGGGAACUGGUCAUGCCUUCAAACCUGUCAGAGUUCAAGCAUAUGCUAAUUAUAUGGUUUAGUUUUAGGCAGUCCUGUGAGGAUCAAGGAGUUAGACUUCAUGGUUGUGAUGGGUCCCUUUUAACCCUGGAUAUUCUACGAUUCCAGCUUGCAUUGAAAUGGAGAGUGACAGUGGUCGUUAACAUUCUUCUAAUGAGAAAAUUGCAGUACUUAGCAUAGUCUAACACUUGCGAGCUGAGAACCUGAGUACAUGUGAAGCAUCAUAUCGUUUUGAUAAAAAGGAACAAAUGUGCUGAAAGUUCGUAAAAAAAAAAAAAAAAAAUUAUAGAUUUCGUGUAGUAAUUUUUUUUGGCUGCAAACCAAUGUUUUAGUCAACAAAAUCUGUUCAAUAUUAGGUUUUCUAUAAGAAGACAAAUAUAAAGUACAAAUAGCUAAGUGAAGUAUUUUAAGUGAAUGCUUUUUACUUUGUUCAUUUAAUCUGAAGAGAAUAUUUUUAGGCAUUUUAAUUUAAACUGAUCUAGCUUCUCAGAGAAAUAUUUUGAUGGGAAUUCUGUUCAUGGAUGUUUAUAAUUUUCAUUGUAGAUCAUCUGUCUGCCUUAAAUCUACUGAAUUUGCUGGUGAAAAUGUAAUUGCAAAUGGAUUCUUGUAAAUGGCUGGGAUACCUGUAAUUACUGUACCCAGCUUUAAUAGAAAUGCUUUAUGUAUUCCUUGUGUCUUCUACACAGUAAUGUGAUUUAGUAAAAUGAACCAGUUCUAAAAGCAGGAUUCAAAGUACAUUUUAAUCCAUUUCCAAAAUACUUUAUUCCGUAAUUGUCUUUAAUGGGAGUCAUUUCUCUGUGCUAAGUCCUUCGUAAAACCAGAAUAGGAGCAGAGUCAAAAUAAUUUUGAAAUUAUUUCAUAUUAUUUAAAUCAAUAUGGUUUUCAGUUAUAUCAGUUUUAGCUUCUGAAUAUCAAACAUACCUGAAAUUUGUUCUGCGGCUCACAGGAUACCUGAGUUUGUAAGGCUUCCUCAACCUCACCCCAGUCAGGUAUUAAUAGAGAUUGAUGAGACUCCCCUAAGCCUUCUCUUCUCAAUUUCCUUUGUUCAUUUGUGGCCACUUUUCUUACACUUAAAUUUUAGUACCUUAUGAUACCAUAACUUUGAUAUGUGGAGAUUUUGAGGGAUAGUUUUGGAAACUUUCUUAUGGAGUAUAUAUGGAAAUUUAAAUCCUGACAAAUAUCAGCAUCUCCAGGUUCCUUUAAAUAUAGCUCAGUGAAUAGUAACAACAUGGAUAAAAAUACUGAAGUUGUUCUAACUGAAAAGAGAAAAAAAAAUGAGGGAGCUGUCUAGCUGUCAGAGGUUGAGCUUUCAGCCUGUAAGUCACUUCAAGAACACUGUGUUUUCGUUGUGUUUAUAUGAAUGAUGCUGAAUGAAACAAGUGAUGGGACCCUUUUAAGUUACCAGAUCAGUGGUAGAUUUGUACAUUUCCCAUUAAGGACCAUUGGAUCACUCUCUCUGUGAGUUAGAAAGAGUUGAAGUGGAAAAAUUAGGAUCAAUGCCUAAGAGAAAGGUUUCUUAACAGUUAUUUUUGAAAUGAUCAAAUGCAAUUCAUCUUUGAAUUACCUCUUCAUCAGAAGCCCACUCUUCCAAACUUAGAACUCAUCCAUACAGAAAGCAAAAGCUAUAAUAAAAUGGGUGUUUGUUUUUUCCAUGCAAAAGGAUGUGUAUCUGCCUGCAUUGCCAAGAGCUCCAGGAAUAGUUUCAGGGUCCCAUCUUUAAAAAUACUGGCAAAUGUUGGGAAGUGAAUGGGGAAAAAGAAAGCACAUCGUGCAUGGUGUUGUUAAAAAUUCCUUCAAAAUGCAACUGCAAAGUUUAAGUAGGAAUUCUGUAGUGCCUGAGAGAUUUUAUUCUUGCUUCUGUUUUGUAUUACUGGAGCUUAAUUGGAAGAGUCUUAAAACUUCAGCUAGUGUGCUCAAGCAUGAUGAUGUUUCAGCCUUUUUGUAGACAUUUAAAUUAGUCCUGCAGAAAUGUAUGAAUAUAGUUCUUGUCUUAGAGAUUCUGUCAUCAAGAAAAAUUGGUAUUAUAACUGCGUACUGUAGCAAGUAUAUUAUGAAUAUCUAGAUAAAGCAAAAUGUACGCUGGCCUGUGCUUUAAUUUUAUGCACUUCUGUUGUACUGUUUCCUUACACAGGUUGAUAGGAUAUGUAUACCUGCCAACGGUAAGAGUUUUUUCAGUAAUUAGGAUUUUGGGUUGUUUGGUUUUUUUAUUUUUGUUUGUUUGUUUUUGCAAAUAAAUUUUCACUCACUCAUUUGAUCAUUUUCCCAGGGAUGUUUGUACAUCACACAAUUGAUUGGAGCUGUUGCUGUCUAGAAAAACUUAUCAUCAAAUACCUCUGAGAGCUGGCUUUAUAUGCAAUCUAAGUUGACUCUCAGUUGUAUUGGAUUCAAUACCCUGAUGAGGAGUAGAUGAUUUAUUCAUAUGCUGCAGUGUGUUUCUCUGUCAGAUUUCCUCUGCACUUACUGUUCUGGUGGAACUUCAGACCAGUGUAGCUUUGAUUCUUAUUAAUUAGUUUCUGUGAAAAUGCAUUUUAUUUCUUUCUUGCAUAGCUCUCCUCAGAUCCAGAAUAUGAAGCAAUAUUUUGAAAUCUUAUGGUUUUAUGUGUUGGAAAGAAAUACCAUUGAAAAUUUGGUUUUGGCCAACCCAAAGCAAGCCAUCUUUACUUACCAAUUUUUUUAUCUUUGGUGUUAAUUAUGUUCAUUCACAACAUUAAAACUUUUGGGCAAGUAUAGAGAUAGUCACCAACAUAUGACCCAGAAAAUCUACAAAUAAUAAUAAAAAAACCCCAACAAAAACCAGUCACUCAGCUGUCAGUUUAAAUUUAAAUGUAAUAUCUGGUUCUUACUAUCAUGUCCUUUUGUAUUGUUCAAGCAUGAUGCUCCUUGUACCAUGCACAGUACUCUCUCUUACAGAGUACUGUCAGACACACUGGAGAAACGGGAAGUCUCAGGCUUGGUGUGCAGUAGCCACAUUGCCUCGUGUCUUGUCACUCUCAUGUUUUGUGGGUUUUUUGUUUUAGUUUAGUUUUGUUUGUUUGUUUGGGUUGGUUUUUGUUUUUGCUGUUUUUUCUUUUCUUCUGUUCUUCUCCCCAUCUGGUGCUGGAGCUGUCAUGCUGAGACUUUAUUCUUUCCAAAACCUGUAUCACUGUUGAAUCUCUGUGUAUGACUUUUGUACUCAGCUGUGGUGAAAGCAUGUCCUAUUAAGAUGCAGAAGAAAGGUGAGACUUCCUUGCUGAGACGAGCCCUUAAAAAACCAGAAACAUUAUACAAAAGGAAAUAUCUUUUGCAGUCAUUAAAAACAUUUUAGAUAGGUUGAGGGUUUUGAUGUUUUGUUUUUUGUUGGAAUUUUUUGUUUUACUUUUAAAUUUUUUUUUCUAUUUGACCUUCUUUGUCAAAUUUAUCUUGCUUCAUGACUCUAUUUGAGUGUAACAGUACUAAAUUAAAUAUAACUGUUGGGAAAGAUUUAAAUUCCAUACAUUCUGUGAAUCAGUUCUUGUGUUCCAGUCUUUCUGUAUUCAGUGCAAGGCUAAGUUCAUUUUUCACAAAAACUUAACAAGGAAAUAGGAAGAAUUUUUUUUUUGAUUGAUGCUACAUAUUUUUUGAGUGACUGACUGCCAAAGAGAAAAGGGAGUUAAAUCUAUUUUGGAAAUCUUGAGCAUGAACACAUAGCCUUAAUAGUAAGGUAGGAAGCAUUUAUAAAACUAGAUGUAUUCAAGAUAUAACCCAUAAUACAGUCCAGUUCUAGUGACCUCUGAUGGAAGUUUGAAGCAAGGAGACUGAAGUGAUGUUGAGAUGGGACAGAAAUAGAAGAAAAAGUGCUUACAUGGUGAGGAAUUUGUACAAAUAUAGUCUCUGUUCUCAGAGAAGGGCAAAAUAUUCUUUCUUUGCAACUAACAACAGAAAAGGUUUUCUUCUUGACUCUGGUUUAGCCUUUCAUCUUUGGCAUUGUCUGAAAUACUAGCAUUCUUCCAUUUAGUGUGCUAAUGCCAUGUUCCACUUGUGAAAUAUUCCAACAUGUAUAGUUUUUGCCCAAGAACUUCAACCUAACUUGUUUUUCCUCAUUUUGUAUUUGUAUGGGUAGUGAUUAAUAUUCCUGUCUUAUGGGAUCUUCUUAAGACAGGAACCUUUCUUCACUGUGUCAAUUUAAUUUUGAAUUUAAUAUUUUCCUCUGAUGUGCUUUCUGUCCCUUCAUUCUUAAUUAAUCUGCCAGUAAAUGCUGCAUUCUACCAUCCAAUUGUUAAUAAAACUAAUGAAAAAUAUUGGAUAGAGAACACAUCCAAUACAGCCUGUUAAUACAUAUUUCUCAUUUGGAGAAAUAAUUGACAGUUACAGCUUGGUUAGUUUUCUCAUAACUUAAGCAUUAUUCUCAUAGAAGUUCGAGUUUUUUUUACAAAAUUUGCAUGGGAAAAAUAAUGGAAAAUUGUGUCUAAUGGCUUUCAAAGUUAUUGUAUGGUUUUCUUCUCUCCAUAAGACUCUUUACAUUGUCAAAAGAGGACUUGAGAUGCUUUUUGCAUGACUUUUUUUGACACUUCCAUAUUGAGUCUAAUUCAUCUUCUUGAUACAUUUUAGGUACAAAGCUUAAUUAUUUGCUAUUUUUCUGCAAAUUUAAAUUUAACUAGUUUUCCUGUAACUCCAUAAUUUCCCAUAGUUUGCUCAGUCCUAGCUUUUUAAAGCAAGCUUUGUAUUUGCCCUCUCCUAGUUUUCUUACUUUUUUUUGUUUGUUUCUGUUGUUGUUUUGUUUGUUUGUUUUUUUAACCAUUCCAGAGCUUUUUUUUUCAGAGCAUGCAGCAAAUAAGCUCGUGGAUUUUGUACCCUAAGACUUUUUAAUAUGGGUCAAAUUCACCCUGACUCCAAUAUUUUUUCCCCGCUGUUAUUUAUGGACAUUAUAGUGAAGAACUGAAAUGAAACUGCAGACAUUUAUUUCCUUGUAGUAUUUAGACAAACAAGUUGUGAUGAUAAGGAGAGCUAAUGGAAUAUGACCAAGUUUGUUAAGUGGGAAAGCUCAGCUCAGCUACUUCCAUAGUUGUUCAGCAAGCGAAGGAGCAUUUUCUUGUGCUCUUGCUAAGAAGGAGUUCUCAGAUUAAGCCACAGACAUGGGAUUGUUGUAGUGUUAUGAAUAUUACUAAUUAUAUUUUCACUAUAUAAUAUCCUGCCUAUACGGACUGAGGCUGAUUAAAACUUAUUUGUGUCUCCGAUGUGAUGGCAAUACAAAUCACUGUGGAGAACUCCCCACAGAUUUAUUUAUUUCCUUUCAAGCCUGCUUUUGUUGUUGGUGCAGGGAUGUGCUGAAGAUCCUCUAGGGCUGAGGGGUGGCUUGGCUCAGAUCCACAAUCCUUUAGGGCUCAGACCAAGGGAUGAGACCUAUAAAUAGACUAAUACCAGUGUGUAAACUGCUCGAAAUCCCCCUGCAGUGCACACUUGUGUGGUUUUGCUGUGCCUGGACUGUCUUAGCUGGAGAAGAUUCCUUGCUUCAGACAAGAACCUGUUUCAAAAAUGCCGAUUCCAUCGUAAGCUUCAGUUGGCACUAAGUGCUUUGGGGACAAGCUCUUGUGUUUUCAAAGCCUUCAUUUGAAUGGCCUAUGUAAAAAGGACACAUGAAAUUUGGGUUCCUUUCUCUCCAGUUGUUGAUUUUUCCCACGUGAAUUAGGUCAAUUACUGAAGCAAACGGGCAUAGUGUAUGUUUAAAUGGGGAGAUUAAUUAAGUGUCUUGUUCCCCAAUUCUAUGCAUUUUUCCUGGCUAUUUCUCUUUUUCAAGGCUGGUUUUCUUAGUUUUUGUAAAAAAGAAGAGUACACAUUUCUGGUUAGUAUUUCAAUUUUUCCUUGCUGAGCCA